rnacentral:rRNA from 1 species
GCAAGUCGAGCGGAACCUAUUGGAGCUUGCUCCAUUGGUUUAGCGGCGGACGGGUGAGUAACACGUGGGCAACCUGCCCUGCAGAUCGGGAUAACUCCGGGAAACCGGUGCUAAUACCGAAUAGUUUGGGGCCUCUCCUGAGGCCCCACGGAAAGACGGUUUCGGCUGUCACUGCAGGAUGGGCCCGCGGCGCAUUAGCUAGUUGGUGGGGUAAUGGCCCACCAAGGCGACGAUGCGUAGCCGACCUGAGAGGGUGAUCGGCCACACUGGGACUGAGACACGGCCCAGACUCCUACGGGAGGCAGCAGUAGGGAAUCUUCCGCAAUGGACGAAAGUCUGACGGAGCAACGCCGCGUGAGUGACGAAGGUUUUCGGAUCGUAAAACUCUGUUGUGAGGGAAGAACAAGUACCAACUAACUACUGGUACCUUGACGGUACCUCACCAGAAAGCCACGGCUAACUACGUGCCAGCAGCCGCGGUAAUACGUAGGUGGCAAGCGUUGUCCGGAAUUAUUGGGCGUAAAGCGCGCGCAGGCGGUCCCUUAAGUCUGAUGUGAAAGCCCACGGCUCAACCGUGGAGGGUCAUUGGAAACUGGGGGACUUGAGUGCAGAAGAGGAAAGUGGAAUUCCAUGUGUAGCGGUGAAAUGCGUAGAGAUGUGGAGGAACACCAGUGGCGAAGGCGACUUUCUGGUCUGUAACUGACGCUGAGGCGCGAA